rnacentral:other from 1 species
ACAGUCCUGAGGUGUUCGUUAUCCACGAGAUGUUUUGACCGAACAGCUAUAACUACGGGAGCUUAAUGUUUUCAAGUCGCGUACAGGCCUCUCGUUAGAGGAAGUAUAAAUCUUGGAUCAGGGCACCCACCUGCCGAGAGCGGGUUCAAAACAAAGGUUAUGAUGACGGCACAUGCGGGACUUAC